GUGACGGUGGUGGUGGAAGGACGCCCCCCUUACAUCUGUAUUCUACCCUUUGCAGUGGGCCACUGAAGAUGCCAUGCCGCUCCUGCAGCGACUCCCUUCCCGCAGAUGGACGCUUCAUGAAAUGCUCCGAAUAUAUCCCGAACUGUGCCCACAUGAACUUGUUGCUGCUGGCACCAUUUCUGACUACUGCAAUCUCCACUGCGUUUUGCCUGAAAAGUUCGACAGCCUCGAGCACAAGUCUGGCAAGGACGUCACCUGGUGCAGCUCGUUUGCUGGCGAAACUGGCGAUUGACUGCACUCAGUUACUAAAUAAAGGAAUGUACAUGAUCACAAGGG